rnacentral:rRNA from 1 species
AGGACGAACGCUGGCGGCGUGCUUAACACAUGCAAGUCGAGCGGAAAGGCCCUUCGGGGUACUCGAGCGGCGAACGGGUGAGUAACACGUGGGCAACCUGCCCCUAGCUCUGGGAUAACUCCGGGAAACCGGUGCUAAUACCGGAUAUGACCUCAAGUGGCAUCCCUUGAGGUGGAAAGAUUUAUUGGCUAUGGAUGGGCCCGCGGCCUAUCAGCUUGUUGGUGGGGUAAUGGCCUACCAAGGCGACGACGGGUA